rnacentral:lncRNA from 1 species
AUUGGUGGGGAAAAAAGGGGCUGGCACGAGCAGAGACCCUAACUGGCUUAGGUUUUUAAGAAAGGAUAAAGGCUGAACAGAUCUCUGCAGUUACAAUUAUUCAUACUAGAAGAUACUGCUAACCUCUUUGUUAUUUGAGCAGCUGGAUGAGAUUCCUGAUUUCCAUAAUCUGUACCUGGAGGUUUAUACAGGAGAGGAUCACUGGGGCAGACUUGAACCAUGGUGCCCACAAGUGGGGAGGGUGCUCCAGCGGCCAUGGAAAGAACUUCCUUCUGCAGUUGGAGACAGCCUUCUGUGUGGGCUGAAGGACAGAGUGUGAUUUUCUACUUGGAAGAGACUCCAGGGCUCUGCAGAGAGGGAAGCCCUGCUGACCCAUUUCAGCAGACUGUGACACUUCAGCGACCUGCAAAUUCUACACAUUAGAGUUCAUAUUUUAUACAAACUCCGUACACCUAAGAUGUGGACUUAACAUUUCUACCAACAACAUCCAACUUCCAACAAAAGAUGCAGGCCCAUCAGAAGAUGAAAGCUACUAAUGAAGAUGCAUUAAAGAUGAUAUUUAUGGCCACCCCUUAGGGAAAAAAAGAUUCAUAAAUAAUUUCAUGGAAAUUACACCCAAAAUAGAGUCAUAAUUUCCUCAA